CCUACGGGGGUGCAGCAGUGGGGAAUAUUGCACAAUGGGGGAAACCCUGAUGCAGCGACGCCGCGUGAGUGAAGAAGUAAUUCGUUAUGUAAAGCUCUAACAGCAGGGAAGAAAAUGCCGUACCUGGAGUAAGAAGCCCCGGCUACCUACGUGCCAGCAGCGGCGGUAAUACGUAGGGGGCAAGCGUGAUCCGGAUUUACUGGGGGUAAAGGGAGCGUAGAGGGCAAUGCAAGUCUGGAGUGAAAGGCGGGGGCUCAACCCCCGGACUGCUCUGGAAACUGUGCGGCUGGAGUGCAGGAGGGGUAGGUGGAAUUCCUGGUGUAGCGGUGAAAUGCGUAGAUAUUAGGAGGAACACCAGUGGCGAAGGCGGCUUGCUGGACUGUAACUGACGUUGAGGCUCGAAAGCGUGGGGAGCAAACAGGAUUAGAUACCCCAGUAGUC
rnacentral:rRNA from 1 species